CCUACGGGUGGCAGCAGUGGGGAAUAUUGCACAAUGGGGGCAACCCUGAUGUAGCGACGCCGCGUGAGUGAAGAAGUAUUUCGGUAUGUAAAGCACUAUCAGCAGGGAAGAAAAAAGACGGUACCUGACUAAGAAGCCCCGGCUAACUACGUGCCAGCAGCCGCGGUAAUACGGAGGGGGCAAGCGUUAUCCGGAGUUACUGGGUGUAAAGUGAGCGUAGACGGCGCGGCAAGUCUGAAGUGAAAGGCAGGGGCUUAACCCCUGAACUGCAUUGGAACCUGGCAUGCUAGAGUGCUGGAGAGGGAAGUGGAAUUCCUGGUGUAGCGGUGAAAUGCGUAGAGAUUAGGAGGAACACCAGUGGCGAAGGCGGCUUACUGGACAGUAACUGACGUUGAGGCGCGAAAGCGUGGGGAGCAAACAGGAUUAGAUACCCGGGUAGUC
rnacentral:rRNA from 1 species